rnacentral:lncRNA from 1 species
AUCAGCUUAUCACCAUCAGAGAACCACCAACAGAAUAAUACACACGCACACAUUUUACUAUAUUUCUAUCUAUUACAAGUACAUAUCAGUUUUUGUAAAUAGAAAUGAAUGAAAAUGAACAGAAUUGAAACCCUAAGUGCUCUAUGUGUGUUUUGUGCGUGUGACUGGAAUUUGGGGGGGUGAGAGCAGCCGGCGGCUGCUCGCGGCCGGAGGCGGCGCGGCGGCAGCCGCCGCCUUUUUCCUUUGUCUAUCUGAAACGAGAGAGAGAUGGUUAGGGCUGCUAGUAAAAAAAAAAAAAGAGAGAAGAGAAGGUAGAACGAGGGAGGGAGAGAGAGAGAGUAGGAGGGAGAACUUAUCUUCUCCGGUGACGACGAUGCGGCGGCAUCGGCAGCGGCGACACGGCAGCGGGAGCACCGAGCUGUUCCUGGUCGGCCGGAAAAGAGAAAAAGAGGGGGAGCUCAGAUCUGGAGCCUACCUUCCCGGCGAGGCAAGGCUCGGCCUCCACCGCGAUUCCAGCAAGACGAACGACGGGAGCGGCGACGCUCGGCUCUUCCCCGUGAGUCCGGCGGUGGUUGUGGGCGGCGAAGAUGGAUGCGACGGUGGGGGUAGCCUCUGCUGCCCUAUUCCGAGCAAGGAGCCGUGGCUCUGUUUUUCCGGCGAGAUAGAGAGAGAAGAGGAGAGACCGAGAGUAUGAGAGGGGGAGGGGAGAUGCACGGCGAGGCGGCGCGCCGGAGGCGGCGCCGCACUCGACCGAGCAGAGAGAGAGAGGCGAGAGAGCCGAGUGAAAGAGAGAGCAAAGGGGCUGGUGUGUGUUGUGUGUGUUGUGCGUGUGUGUUAUGUAUGUAUUAGGGUUAGGUUUAAUUGGGGCUCAAGCCCAUUCUCUUUCCAUUGGGCCGAAUUUGUUUUAUAGUUGUUGGGCCGAUUUUAAUUACUUCUGCUGGGCCCAAUUUGCUAUAAAUUCUGUUGGGCAUUUAUUUUAAUUGUUUUGGGCUCAAAUUUAACUAAGUUUUGACCUGUUAAUUGAAUAAUAAAGCCUACGAAAUUUUGGCCUUAUUUCUUUUAAAAAUGUUU